rnacentral:tRNA from 1 species
CCGGCAGUAAGGGCACGGCCAGUCUCGUAUCCCAGCUCCCACCGCGUCCGCGCCGGGUGCCUCGACGCACGUGCGCUUGAGUUCCCUC